AUUAAAAGCAACGUACUGGAAGGAGCUUAAAUGAAGCUUAAAAGGAAGAAAGCUGGUGGAAUAAGUGCCAAUUUUGACAGAAUUGGAAACUAGACGUUGAAAGAGUCCAACAGCUGAAUUUCACGCUACUAAAUAUUGAAAGAUCAGAAAAGAACUCCAAGGGUAUGGUGGUGGGGACUAUCAAAGGAAUUCGAGCACAAAAGCUCUUAUGCCCUAACAAGCCUGGGACAAGUAUGCAAGUAUCAUUGAUAUAGGAAAUCAAAGCACAAAGUGAUCAGAAGAUUAAUUCAGAUACAGCAUACCAAGAUAACAUGAUGCAGCAUCAGAGGUAAGAAGCCUGCUUGGUCUUCAUUUUUUUUUUUCCACAUUGAAGUCCACAAUAGAGUUGUAGUCUCCCAUCAAAAUAAUAUCUGUGUACUCAAUGUCUUCAAUCUCUUUCUGAAGUUUUUCAAAGAAAGGAGCUUUUGCACUGUUAGGAGCAUAAAUAUUGACAAUGAAUAUUUUCUUUGUAAUUCUUUCGUUACCUUAGAAAUCUUUCUUCCAUAUCUAUCUUAACCAUUUGAAGUUGCUAGAGUUUGGGGAUGUACAAUGCCAGUCCAUUUUAAUUUUCACUCAUUAAAACUAUAAAUCACUUAGAUAUAGAGCAUCAUGCUCCAUUCUAUCUUUAUGUAUUAGUCCUCUAAUUUUAUCUAAACUCCAAUGUUUCUAUUACAUUUCAUAAUAUAAAAUCCUUUUCAAAAUCAUUAACUAGUCCAAUUUGCAUUGUCUUUUGCCUGUAAUUAUCUUGUAUGCUAGUCUCAGCCAAAUAUUAUCUCCUUUAUUUCAUUUUAAAUUUGACUUUCGCCUUCCGUUUUCCCAUUCUGUCGAUGAUCUUCACCCAAUCUUCUCAGACUUUCUUCCUUUCCCCUUACUAAUAUUUACAACUCCUUCCAAAUUUUGAUUUUAAAACAAAUGACCUGAGACAUAAUGCCUUUCUUUUUCAUAUUUUUCACCUGUUUCAUUAUUACAGGCUAGUACUUUUGUUAAAUCUACUUGAUUUUGUUUAACCAUCUGUGUAAAUUUCCUACACAUAAAUCCUCCCCGCUCAAUUGUAUCCCAAUUUUACAAUUUACUCUCCUUCUCCUUUGUUUUCAGUGACUAAUUCCUCCAUUAACUUAACUUGUAUUUAUUUCACCACACGAUUUUCAGCAUCCAUUAUUCCAUAUUUGUCCCACAUGUAUCCCCUCUUGUCUUGCACUUCCCUAACAGCUCUGCCUUAAUCUCAUUUUUCAAAUUCUCUGUCUUAUUAUCUUCAUAUCUCAGGGAAUGCAUCUGCUCCAACAAUGUUACAUAGAAUAAGGCAAUGUUACAGCAGACAGACAGUCUUAUAUCAGCAUCAAAGUGAUAAUCCUUUCAUGUUCUCAAAAAUAAAAUAAAAUUCAGUUGUAUAAAUAAAAAUAAAAUCUAUCCACAAAAAUACAUGGAGUUAAAUCUUUAAUUAUAAUUCUUCAAACAUACCAACUGCUAAUCUUUUUGUUUAACUUUUGAUCUUAUUUACACAUCUACUCAUUUUUGUCCACAUCUCCAUUUGUCAUUAACAGUGUUUGCUAGGGCUGACUGUAGGCUAAAACAUCAGAACAGGGAGUGGGUAAGUAUGAUCUAAAUUUAAUCGGUUGAAGUAAUUUUAAAACUCAACUUUGUUUUGAUGAGUCAAAACAAAUUGAGACACAAACUCAUUCAAGGUGUAUACUCUGUAUGAUAGAAAUUGCUCCUUCAACAUGUGCAUGUUCACUAGAACAUUUGUAGGGAGACCUCUUUGGACAUCUGGAAUCUCUAUCAACAGUCCAACAAAUAUCCAAAGGUCAGGAGAUGGAGCUGCAGACAUUAAUUAAUGAUGGGUGUGCAAAAUCUAA